rnacentral:ncRNA from 1 species
AAUUGAAUAGGCGAUGACGUUCGCCGUAAAUAAUUGAUAAUAAUUUGAUGACGUCUAUUACUUU